UGUUAACAUCAGUGGUACUAAUGCUAUGUGAACUGAACUAAAUAUUGAAUUUUGAACAAGGAAAUAAGGAAAUUAAUUUGAAUAAGAGCUACAUUCAAACUUUAAUCUAUUGCCCUGUGCUUCUUUUGGAGUGGAAUCUGUGAGUCUUUUGACCAUAUGAUUAGUACAUAACCAACCUCCUCAUCGAAUCUAGAUUUAGAUAACUCCUACAAUAGAUCCUUAGCCUGCCUAUAAGCAGAACUACCACCGUAGGGUUACAAUAACAUACAUACAGUAUACAUACAACAGAGGAACCCUGAGCUCUAUAGCACUCUGAUGAGAUAACUUUACACAUAUCUAAUUUAAUAAAAAAUGUAUUCAAUGUACAAUGUACAAAUAUCCCUUUUGUCAUAAACGUCAACACUCAUAAUACACUUUCGAUUUUUAGAUAUUUUAUAUAUUGAUAUAUAUGCUCUGUUGAUCCAACUUCCAAGCAUCCUUUUGCUUGGAAAAUAAAUGGGGAUAUCUGGGUCCAGUAACACGGAGAAAAAGUACACAUUGUUCAUUUACAUAUACAGUCGACAACAAUACAAAGCUGGUUGAAAAUUUACAAAAUUAUCCAUUUAAGAUUAGAUUAGAUUUUCAUAAAUUAGGUUGAAAAUAGUUACAAUAUUAAAAUCAAAGAUAAUAGGUAAUAUUAUUCUAAAUAUAAAAGUACUAACUCCAUUAAGUUUCUCCAUUAAGUUUAUGCACAGUAUAUUUCAUUUAACCCUUAAACAACACAAAGCAAUUCAGUGAGUAAAACCCAAGAAAAAAAUAUAUGAAGAAAGACAUCAAUACAGUACAUUGAGCCCUGUUAGAAUUUUCUUAGUACUGUAUAUAUAUGCAAACAGCAUUGUUCUAACAAUGACUUGCAUAGUUUACAACUUAGUUCAGCUUUUGCUUCCAGUUUCCAUCAGUCUGGUUCAGAGAUCUGUAAAACAGAGAGUUGAUAUUGUUUUUAAUUAUAUAUAUAUACAUUUAUGUUGCUGAUAAAAGAAAAUAGGCUCCAAAAUGAUACAAUUUACUUUACUUUUUCUCAUGAGUUGUAAAGCCAGUUCAUAACCUCCUACAUCCAUUUAGCCUUUGACAUAACCACUUACCUCAAGCUAAAACAUCAGUAGAAGAGCACUUGAUGUUAUUUGUGAAAAAGCCUGACAUGCUGAUAUACAGUAAAUGCAUGCUGAUAUAUAAUGUAUUUGGAAUAUUUUAUAACAAAUUUGUGAGACAGACAUGCUCACAUUCAUUGAAAAUUGAUAAGCUUCAUGUCUUGUGUAACCUGUAGGCUUGUUCACAUAAUGGCGUGCAAUGAUAUCUGUAUUGAAAUUGAUGAAUGGCCACUCAUUUAUCAACAGAAAAGCUGCUUGUUAUCCACUUUAACACAAAUACUUUCUUUUUAGGCUUACACAAAGGCACGAGUGGACCAUACACAUCGGAAAUCGUUAGGCUAAGCUGGGGUACAUAGUAAACUGAGCCUGAGAUAACAAUCCCCCCCCCCCCACCCCUAAAUAGAGAGAGGAAAGCAGGUAGCUGGAAGACUGGACAUUUCUUUAAGGAUUUAUCAAGACAAAACCAGAGGACUAAUCUAAGAGCUCCAAUCUGUAAAACUGAAGUGGAACCUCUAAUUAUAUCAGAGCUGUUAGGGCAGGUUUGUAGAGAGUUUAAAUUUCCUUCUCAGUACCUUUUUGUCCUUUUCUACUUUAGAUUUAAACUUAAGAUACCUAACUAAACUUUAAAUGUAACAGGUAGAGUGUAAAGCAGUUGUUGCAGUUUCUUAAUUGAGAUACACAUAUAUAAUUUGUAAUUCAACUCUUCUGACAGGCCAACAAGAUCAACCAAUAGUGAGCAUCAAUCAAAAGCUUUUACUCAAGUCACAAAUAAAUAUUGUAACAUGAAUAAUCAUAAACUACGACUCUAUUUCUCAUAAUUGGCACUCACAAUGUAACUUUGUAUAUCACAGUGUGAUUUUAUAUCUUACAGUUGCAACUUUGUCUCAUGUAAUUGCCAUUUUAUUUCAUGUUAUUGAAACUUUAUUUUUUACUUUGAGUCGGGAAUGGCUUAUGUUCUAUUCUCAGUUAAUACUGACAGCUGAGCAUAAAUAACUAAGGAUGCUUCUGCAAAUGACUGAAUAAUAGGACAUUUUAAUAAAUUAAAAAAAUAAUAAUAAUUAUGUGACAUAAGAUUAAGAUCCAGCCACCUCUCUGCAUCAUGCCAAAGCUGCCUCGUGAAGACUUUCCUUUUACUAGCAGUUAAAAGAGUCUGUGUUGGUGGAGAGGUGUCCUGUCAAUCCCACUCUAAGGAAUGUGGCUAUGAUGCCAUGGGCAGAUACGGGCAGGUGAAGGUAUCUAUCUUUCAGCAGUGGGAUGAUCACAGCCAGGCCUGUGAAGCCGCUGCUCUAUGACACUAGAAUAGAAAGCUGGAAGAGAGAGAAUGUGCUAUUGGAUACCCUUCCUGCGAAAUACAAACGGUUCACUCCUAUACUUAUGAAUGGGAGAAACUGCAAUGUGCAGUAUGGUGGAAUAGUCCCGCCUUCUAAAUGAAAGAGCCAAUCAUUGAUUAGUAAAGUGCACGGCUGUUAAAAAGUCCAGUUCCCAUAGAAACCUGUGUCUAGACCAGCCAAUGUGCAUGCGCAUUGGCUGGUCUAGCCUGAAAAAUAAGCUUUUUUAAUGCUAUUUGAGCAUAAGAAACAACAUUCAUGGGGCAGUUCAUGUCAGAUUUUUGUUGCUGAUUUGAAAUAUGUAAGUUAUUUGUGAGUUCAUAGGGAAGUUUUCGAGAUCUCAGGAUUCCCCCAUUCAUUAAGAUAUGACUUGGUCUUGGAUGAGCUGCCCGGAGGCGUUGCAAAUAUGGCCACCGAGUGAACACACUUUCCUUGAAAGGGACUUUGCCAAGAUCUCAUUGGCAGUCUGCUCUGUAAUUAGAAUUGCUUGACCUUUGUCCUUUUGUCCCCAGGAAAAAGAUAAACCUCAAGUCAAGCAAAUUAAGAAAACUUAUGUGAAUGAACAGGCAUCCAUAUUGAAUGCAUGCACUCUUUGGGUGCUUUCACAAUUGCUUCGAUUGCCUGGUCCUUGAGUUCAGAAAAGUUCAGAAAACAGCAUUCACAUCAUCCAAACAUACCGAACUCUGAUGUAAUUAAACCCUGGUUCCCACCAAAAGUGCUAGUUUGAAAUCACCCUUAUUUUGACUAUACAAAUUAAAUAUAUACAUCAUAUAUGUAUAUAUAAAUGUACAGUUUGUUGCACAGAGGUGGCAUUAAAGUAGGGUGACCAAACGUGGCAUUUUCCCAGGACACGUCCUGGCCAGGAUUUCUAUAUUGCCUAAAAUAUCCAGGUUUUGGCUUUGAUUUCCUAUUUUCAUACUUAAUGAAGGUAAUGAUCAUUUGACCAAUAACAUGCAGACAUUUAUACAUAUUAGUGUUCGACUUGAAGCAGCACUGAGUAUACUGAUCGGCGUAUGACAUCAAAGUACAAGAAGCCAUCCUCUCUCUAGAGCUCUCACGGUACUUUGUCAUACAACAAUUGGUCUGCACAGUGCAAACAAAGCCAAAACGUAUAUAUUUUAGGCAAUACAGAAGUCCUGGCCAGGAUAUGUCCUGGGAAAAUGGCACGUUUGGUCACCCUAAUUAAAGAGAUACUCCACCCCAAAAUGAAAAUUUUGUCAUAAAUCACUUACCCCCCAUGUCGUUCCAAACCUGUAAAAGCUUCGUUUGUCUUCGGAAGAAAAUUUAAAAUAUUUUGGAUGAAAA
ensembl:lncRNA